ACCUGUCAGGUGGAUGAGAAACCCUCACUAAUUUGAGAUAAAUAAGCAUUUUGUGCAAAUGGAACGUUUCAGGAAUGUUUUAUUUCCGCUCGUGAAACACAGGACCAGGCAUUGCUCAUCCUAAUACUUAAUUCCAUUAUUUUACUUUUAAAAUGUGUGUACUGUUAGAUAUUUACUUAUCCAAAGACGUUUUUUUAAAAAAGUUACACACUUGUAAGUAAGCAUUUUACUGUUUUAUUUAAUUUACCUUUUUAACUAGGCAAGUCAGUUAAGAACAAAUACUUGUUUUCAAUGACGGCCUAGAAACAGUGGGUUAACUGCCUUGUUCAGGGGCAGAACGACAGGUUACCUUGUCAGCUCAGGGAUUUGAUCCAGCAACCUUUCGGUUACUAGUCCAACGCUCUAACCACUAGACUACCUGCCGCCCCACUGUAAACUCUCCACCUGUUGUCUUCGGCGCAUGUAACAAAUAAAAUGUGCUAUUAUUGCACAGUUGGAGCUAGAAACACAAGCAUUUCGCUACACCAGCAAUAAUUAAGUGUGUAUGCGACUAAUAACAUUUGAUUUGAACGUUUUGUUACCGGUCUGGCUAGCUAACGGUACUGCUGAUUUCCUACAACGCUGUCAUUGCAGUAUAUUUAACUAGCCACACUCCAGUCAUGUAAUAAGGUGCUUCAGGUGGUAACGUUAAAACUAUUGAUUCAGCAAGGAACACAAAAAUGGUUGACAUAAUGCUGUCCAGCAGGAGUGCAUCCCUCACAUCAUCCGGUGCAUGGACAUCUUGUGCCAAUGUGAUCCGAGCGAGAGUAUCCAGUUGUGGAGACCACAGCACAUCGAGCCUGUGGACAGACAUCUCAAUAACACAUUAAAAUAUCUGCUGGAAGUGAUGUACUCUCUCUCAUUCUGGGGGAACUAACAGCAGGAGCAAUAUGAGUCU
rnacentral:lncRNA from 1 species